CUCGGGUAGAAUUUCUUUCUUUGAGAAAGCUGAGGCGAUCAAAACCCUGAUUAACCUCUGAUAUUCACGUGGUGCUCUUGAUCUUGAGGACCGAAGCAGUAACAAAGAGUUUGGCGUGGAGAUUACUGAUGAAGAGUUUGAGCUGCUACUUGACAGAAUCCCCCUUGAUGAAGAUGGAAAUGUCAGAUACCCCCAGUUCAUGGCCAGGUUUGAUUCCUGAGGGCCGUGUGGAAUCGUCCUAAUCCGGGAAGAGCCACUGCCUCCCUGUGUGAUCUGACACAGUGACAUAUCACUUGACCUCGGUCGCGGCAGCUGUACAGCGAGGUGGAAAAGGCGGCUGACGGACAAGCAGGGGAUGCCUUUCAGCACAGCUUCCUCGGGCAAAUCGAACUGUAUCCUGCAGGACCACUAGGAAGUCUCUGUGCCAAACAGCUUUCUGAUUCACACUUUCAUUCCCUGAGGACACCCAAGUAGGGCUGGGCUGCUGGGCG
rnacentral:lncRNA from 1 species